rnacentral:rRNA from 1 species
CAAUAAGCGGAGGAAAAGAAACCAACAGGGAUUGCCCUAGUAACGGCGAGUGAAGCGGCAACAGCUCAAAUUUGAAAUCUGGCGUCUUCGGCGUCCGAGUUGUAAUUUGCAGAGGGCGCUUUGGCAUUGGCAGCGGUCCAAGUUCCUUGGAACAGGACGUCACAGAGGGUGAGAAUCCCGUACGUGGUCGCUAGCCUUUACCGUGUAAAGCCCCUUCGACGAGUCGAGUUGUUUGGGAAUGCAGCUCUAAAUGGGAGGUAAAUUUCUUCUAAAGCUAAAUACUGGCCAGAGACCGAUAGCGCACAAGUAGAGUGAUCGAAAGAUGAAAAGCACUUUGGAAAGAGAGUUAAAAAGCACGUGAAAUUGUUGAAAGGGAAGCGCUUGCAGCCAGACUUGCCUGUAGUUGCUCAUCCGGGUUUCUACCCGGUGCACUCUUCUAUAGGCAGGCCAGCAUCAGUUUGGGCGGUUGGAUAAAGGUCUCUGUCAUGUACCUCCUUUCGGGGAGAUCUUAUAGGGGAGACGACAUGCAACCAGCCUGGACUGAGGUCCGCGCAUCUGCUAGGAUGCUGGCGUAAUGGCUGUAAGCGGCCCGUCUUGAAACACGGACCAAGGAGUCUAACAUCUAUGCGAGUGUUUGGGUGUCAAGCCCGAACGCGUAAUGAAAGUGAACGGAGGUGGGAACCUUUCGGGGUGCACCAUCGACCGAUCCUGAUGUCUUCGGAUGGAUUUGAGUAAGAGCAUAGCUGUUGGGACCCGAAAGAUGGUGAACUAUGCUUGAAUAGGGUGAAGCCAGAGGAAACUCUGGUGGAGGCUCGCAGCGGUUCUGACGUGCAAAUCGAUCGUCAAAUUUGGGCAUAGGGGCGAAAGACUAAUCGAAC